GCUAAUAAUCUAGCCCCCCAACAUUUAAUGAACCCUAAACACUUCAUCACAAAAACUAAAACAUUUUACCGAUUUAGUAAAGGAGAUUAAAAGAUUAGUAAGAGCAACAUAAAUAGUACCGCAAGGGAAAGCUGAAAUAAAAGUGAAAUAAACAUUAAGCAUAAAAUAGUAGAGAUUAACCCUCGUACCUUUUGCAUCAUGGUUUAACAAGUCUAAUCAAGCACAACGACUUAAAGUUUGACUUCCCGAAACUAAGUGAGCUACUUCAAGGCAGCUUAUUGAGCGAACCCGUCUCUGUUGCAAAAGAGUGGGAAGACCUUCAAGUAGGGGUGACAGACCUAACGAACUUAGUGAUAGCUGGUUAUUCAAGAAAAGGAUUUAAGUCCGGCCUAAAAUCUUUUUAGUUCUUCAAAACAUAACCUUGAUUUUAAAGUAAUUCAAAUAAGGUACAGCCUAUUUGAAAAAGGAUACAACCUAAGCUAAUGGGUAAUAAUAUAACUUUAUAACUAAGUGGGCCUAAAAGCAGCCACCUUUAAAAUAGCGUCAAAGCUUUACUGUAUCAUACACAUAAUCCCUUUUAAAUUUUAUAACCCUUUAAUUUUAUUGAAUAAUUUUAUAAUUUUAUAGAAAGUAUAAUGUUAAAACUAGUAACAAGAAGACGACCUUCUCUUUAAUGUAAGUGUAAAUCAGAAAACCUCACUGAUAAUUAACCCUAAUGAAAUUGUAUUAGUAACCUCGCAAGAAAACCCUAAUAAAUCCCGAGUUAAUCUAACACAAGAACAUUACAAGAAAGAUUAAAAGAAAAAGAAGGAACUCGGCAAACAUUAACCUCGCCUGUUUACCAAAAACAUCGCCUCUUGAAUCAUUAUAAGAGGUCCAGCCUGCCCAGUGACUUUGUUCAACGGCCGCGGUAUCCUAACCGUGCGAAGGUAGCGUAAUCACUUGUCUUUUAAAUGGGGACCUGUAUGAAUGGCAUCACGAGGGUUAUACUGUCUCCUUUUUCUAAUCAGUGAAACUAAUCUUCCCGUGAAGAAGCGGGGAUAAUUUUAUAAGACGAGAAGACCCUAUGGAGCUUUAAACUUAAUAACAUAUACUGAUUCUAUUUUAACUUCCAGAAUAUUAACUUAAACUUUAGUACAAUGAUUAUUAGUUUUAGGUUGGGGUGACCGCGGAGUAAAAAUUAACCUCCACAUUGAACAGGACCUAUUCUUGAACCAAGGGCUACAACCCUAAGCACCAAUAAAUUGACAUUAAUUGACCCAAUAUUUUGAUCAACGAACCAAGUUACCCUAGGGAUAACAGCGCAAUCCACUUCAAGAGCCCCUAUCGACAAGUGGGUUUACGACCUCGAUGUUGGAUCAGGGUACCCCAGUGGUGCAGCCGCUACUAAAGGUUCGUUUGUUCAACGAUUAAAACCCU
rnacentral:rRNA from 1 species